UAAAUAUUAGAAAUAUUUAAAAAUGAAACUGAAGAACGAAAGUUAUAUUCUUUUAAGAUGGACAUUGAUGACCGUGAGGACCACAAGUAGCAGGUAAUCUAUUUUGAUCUAGAAGAGGCGUUCCAUUUGGACAUGGAUUAUCCUUCUUCGGUAAACAAACUGGUACUGGUGGACAAGGUGGUACACUACAAGCCACCUCGACCAUUCUACAAGCUUCAUUCUCACCGCGACAAGUUACUCUUUUACAUGGAUCUCUACAUGAGCACAUAGGACAACCACUAUCUAGAUCCAAUUCAAAACCUUCCGAUCGACAAUCGAGCUUACAAUCGAUUUCUGGACAUCUUUGAGGCUUGUUACAUCUCGGUACGAUACCUUCGAGAACGCGUGUACCUGCAGCUUCUCUUCCUUCCACGUCGACGCACCAACACAUACCGUUGUGACAUUGGACUGCCUCGAAUGCCCCAUUGACGUCACAUCUAGGUAUAUAAAUUCUUCUCGCUGGUUCACCAGAUUCUCUAGCCGCGUGCUUGGCUACAGCCUGUGCAUGUUGACAAGCAGUGGCCAUGACAGGUGCUACGCAUUGCGUACCACAACCUGUUGAACAACAUUUAUCCGAAUUCGAACACUCUUGAUCGUUACUACAUUGUAAUUCACAGCUCGACGAACUUGGUACCAAAUAGGGACAUUGUCCGGGUUUCGUUGUCAGACAUGCAGGAACGGGUGGACAAUAUUCUCCUGUGCCACAAUUUACGUCCACCAUUGUGCAAACUUCUCGUAGGCCACAAGACACAUCUUUACAAGGAUCGUGACAAUUACAUUGCUCGCAACCAUUCGUAUCUAUGUCGUAACCGUAAGGACAUACCAAAUCGCACGAUAUCGGGGUACACACUUGCCAAGGACUUUUAAGACUUUUGCAAUCGGUCUCGGGACUGACGUCACCGCGCAAAAUAACUCCGUACUGAUUCACGCAAGCACAGGUACCGUUAUUACAUUGCAAAGGCUUGUAAGUACCAUUUUCCUCGCAUUGCGGUGGUGGAACAGCCAAGGACAUACCUUCUCUCGUACCUUCCAUUCGUUCACCGAAAUCUCGCAGAUAUUCGCACACUAAAAUUAAUUGAUAUUUGUAUCGUCAAUAAAAAUCAUUAAACGAUUAUAUUUUUUGAAAACUUACUUGAUAAUUUUUUUACUGUGGUCGAUGGUAUAGCGCAACAGAUUGAUUGUCCAGCUUCCGGUACCACUGUACACGCGUAAUUAUAUGGACAGGUCUGAUUGUUAGAACACGUGAUCGCAUUACCUUCUUCGUCGCUCAGAGGUGUACCGAAAAUGCAAGGGCUUUUAUAAGUUCUUUUUGCUUUACAUUCUGGCUUGGUAGGACAAAGAAAAUCAGGACAAUUCGUUUCCUGUUUGAGCACACACUCUUCUUCGGAUGGACAUGGAAAACUGAAUGAGAGAAGUAAAAGGAUGUAAAACAAAUCGAGGAAAAAAGAUGUGCUUCAAUUUAACGCAUUAUGAAUUUCAUUUACUCUUACAUACCCCUCGCAAGGAUUAUCGCAUUCGCAUGUAGAACAACCGGAAGAAUCAGUUUUAAAUCCAUAUUGACAAACUUGAGCGCACUGUUGUUGAAUGCAAGAUGUCGAUAAAGAUCUUGCCUUGGCAAUCGACGUACAAUUUACUUUAUCAGCUGGUCCCAUUGAACCAGAUAUCUUUCGACCAACAUCAUCGACACACCAACAUACCAGACCGUUCCUCGAACAUUGUUUAGUUUGAAAUUCUCCUUCUAAAAAAUCAUUCGUUUUUAAUCAUUAAUUUAAAAACACUUGAGUUAUAUGUACGUACUUGAUAAUAUAAUGAGAACAGAUUUUUUUAAUUUUCUUUACCUUCCGUACAUUGCGGUAUGUAACCUCGGCCCUGUUUUUCCGAAAUACUUAACAUUUCUGCCAGCAUACGAUCAUGCCGACAUACGCUAAGAUUUUCGGGUAUAAAACAACUACCACCGCAGCGUUCACUUUGACAACAUUUCUGUGGCGGUGGACAUUCCAAAUCGUGUUGGCACGUUCUACCACAAAUCGUUGGUUCCUCGUUUGGGCAAGUACCGGCUCUCGUUAAAUUGAAAUUUGAGGGACAACAAACCCCAUAUUCCUGUUUCGGAUCUACCAAACAUCUAUACAUCGGCGGACAACUUGGUUUUCCUGCUGUAUUACCGCAUAGGAAUGGUCUCAAAGAAUCUGUGAUUUGCAAUGGUUCACCUGCCGGGCAUACGUUGAAGAGGGAUUUAGCUUUACGACAGCUUGGCACCGGUGGACACGGAGGACGUGCACAGGGUACAUCGAUUAAUUCACAUAUCUGACCCGGACUUGGACAAGUUAUACCACGACAUGGAUCUCUGCAUUCACACUUGGGACACCCACUGUUCGUAUCGAUCUACAAAUUACGAUUAAAUAAAUUAGAUUAAUUAAAUUUAGAUCCAACCAAAGGGAUACUUUUUUUAUUUUCUGAUUAGAAGAGCAAAAUUUGAUACGUUAAAGUAUGCAAGAAUAAUAAUAAUAAUAAUAAAAAAAAAAAAAAAAAAAAAAAAAAAUAGAAAAAUUACUUCGAAUCCAAGCGGGCAAAACAUUCGACAAGAAUGUGCUGGACAUGGUUUAGGAUUAUUGCAAUCAAUAUCAUCGAUGUUAGAUCCUAUCGUUCCAGGAAUUUCACUACCAAUCUUCUCGUCGACGCACCAACAACGUUUUUUCUCGGGAUCACACUGUACCCUCUCAAAAUCUCCUGUUUUGUUAUUACAUUUUGGUAUAUAUUGCGAUAUCACGGUCCAACUGUCAAGAGCACGGAAUCUCUUAACAGCUGCCAAAGCCAAUUGUUCGCAUCCUGAUAGUUCGCUACCGACGCAUCUCAAUCCGCAGGCUGUUUUGCAGCAACGUUCUUCGAAUAAUUGACAUUCGGAAUCUAUCUUACAGGAUGGUGACCUCGAUGGACAAAUGUUUUGCUCUUCGAAGGAUGGACAUCGACCUGUUGUAGCUUUUAGAGAUGACUCUGUAAAAAAUAUUUUAUAUCACGUUGAGAAGAAGUAAUGACGUACCAGCUCCAACCAAGGAUGACAAUGAAAGAAGAAGAAGAAGGCAGGUCGAUGACACCCACACAACGGCGCAUGCAAGCCCACCGUUGCAAAGAUCACGUUGCAUCCUCAACGCAUCAAGUGAUGUUUUGACCAACCACUAUAUCUGUGAAGCAGAGAGACUGCGGUUGUUUUACAGUGAAAUUACUGACGGUUACAUCCUUUGGGAAGCCUUUAAAUUUAGGGUGUAUCCUGUCUUAUGAAUAAUGCAUGAAGGGUGGCUCACGAAACGACGAUGUUGCUUUCAGUGGGUCGAACGUAGAAGAGAAUGCCGGAUGUGGGUCAGUUCGUCAUCGACGUUUCUUCCGGGUCAGUUGUACACCUCUCUUCGGUAGAGAUACCUUUUAUACUACGUUGCUAACUUUCUAUUGUCAUACUCGUACUCAACACUGCGUUUGUA